rnacentral:lncRNA from 1 species
UUGGUUUGGUCUGUUUCGGAUUUCCAAGUCCUUUGAAUUUGGCCCUAUUUCACUUUAGAUCGUCGUCUUGUAGGUUAUACGGCUAUUAUUUGGCUGAGUACAGGUUCUGCUGCGCUUGAAAGGUUGGCCUGUUGCAUAAGCCCAACCUUCUCUUUGGGUAUACUUAUUCCUCGGCUUUCUCCAACUCUUUCUGCUUCUGGUCACUGGCCUUGCUGCUAGUUGGUUUUGUCUUGCCUGAUGACAACGGGUUGAUUGUUGGCCUAAUUCUCUUGGAUGCUCCCACCUGGCUGGUGUUUUCUGCCACCACUCCUUCCACCACUUCUUCGGAUCUGCAGAUUGGUGGAUGAGGGUUCUUACACGUUCAGUACUGCACAAUGGUCGUAUCAAGCAAGUUGUUAAAGAGAGAAUCCUCUCCAAUAAAUUAUUUGUUAAUGUGGAAAAUGAGAAAUUCACCGAAGAAACUAAAGGUGCUCUUAAAAAUGCCAAAUCGCAUUUCGUUGCAGAUCAAAUGCGUGUUCCAGCGGAUGAAGGCAACGAUUGUAACUAAGAUUCUCUACUUUGGUCGUUUUCUCAAGUUAUCCUACUUUCUCACUUGGACCACCAUAUUUAGAAUAGAUUAUAUAUAUGCUCUAAGAAACUACCAAUGACGAGGGUCCAGACCAAAAUACAAACCAAGACAUAAUUAAAAAAAUUGAAAUGUUGUAAUACUUGUAUCGUAAAUGUAUCCUAUUAUGGCUAGAACACAGGAAAUAAAGUGUGUUUUUCAAAAUUUA